AUCCCACACCAGGAAUUGAACUUGGGCCUCCUGGGUGAGAGCCAGUUAACCUAACCACUAGACAACGUGGGA